UUCUGAUGGAGCAGGCUGGAGUGGAGCUUGAGUUCCCACAUUGUUAACCAGCUCCCAGGUGAUAAGGAUGCUGCCGCGGCCAAGGCCCAUAUGUUGGGAAGCAACGCUAGAUGGGCCAAAUGUCGCCAGCAAGAGGGAGACCACGUGGCCGAAUUACCAAGAGAGGUUCUGGGAAUCCUACUGGCCUACAGAGGAGGAGUUGCAGCAGACUUUCCCCUUGGCUGGGACCCACCCUCAAAGCCACAGGAGGCCUGCAAGGUCACAAAUACCUGUCUAGAGGAUCAACUGAAACAAUGGACCUCCAUGCUGCAACCCAGUAUUCGAAUACUUUCCAGCAAAAAGCAGACACAACAAAGUCAUUAAAAGCCAUUUACCUCUGCUGAUUGGAGGACAAAUCCAGAGCUGCUUGCCCACGUCGCUGUGAUGACUCCGUGCUCAGACUGUGGCAUCUUCUUCAGGAACCAUCUUUUACGCCAAAGUACCUGGCGUAAAGUCUGGCACACAACAGAUACUCAAUAAAUGGCACCAAAAGGCAAACCAAAGAAAUAAUGGAAAGAAUGCUGCCUGUGAGACAAACAGACCUGGGUUGACUCUGGGUUAACUACAUAGCCAGGGAAACCUGCAGAAAAAGAGCUAACCACGGAACUUCCAGAAAGUCAAUCUAACUUCUGUCCCCACCAGGCCAAGCCUUGGUGCAGAUAGGAAGAGGCCAAGGCCCAGCUAAGAAUUCUGGCCAGCACAGGGGCCGAAGGCCUAGAUUCCCAAACUCUUGAGGGCAAGGAUGGAGCUUGAGGGCAGAGCUGGUAUGGCAGGCAGACAGACACAUCAACACUAAGUGCUAACACAAGGGGAUGAGAACCAUGAUGGAGAUGCUACGACGUACUGAGGAAAUACAAAUGAAGGCUGAGCCUGUUCUAACGGAAGGAGUAGGACUGGGAAGAGCUUCUCAUGAACUCUUUAUUUAUUGAAUUAACACACUGAUUAAUUUUAAAUUAAGAGGCAGCAUUGGAGCUGGAUCUUGAAGUAUAAGUGGGGAUUCUCCAGCUCAAGAAGGGACUGGCACCCCAAGCAGAAAGAAAGCUUGAGCGAAGGGCACAGCUAACGUUUGACAGACCACUCACCAAAUUGGAUAUAUGUGUGCUCGGGAACCCCCUGCUGGGGUUCAAGACACAGAAUAAGUACGGUGCGUCUUUCAGGGACAUUAAUUUUGCUUAACUAUUUGGGUAAAAUAAACUGUAUGAGAAGAAAUUAAAGGCUUUUUAAAAA